CAUAGAUUAACUGAAUAACUAACACAGAGGGCUUCUGGGUGGGGAAAGGAGAAUUGUCUGCUGGGAAAAAGUCUUAAAGGGGGCAGGGACUAACUAAAACACCCUCCCACGAAAGACUUAAUAAUGAGGCAAAACCCAUACUAACUACAGGGAAACUGAAUCUUAAAAGGGAAAUAACUAAAGGCUCUGUGGGGGCAUGACAUUCCCUGUUUUAUCCAGGGUGG